UCCUGCUAAGGGCCCGUUCCUCUUGCAUUGAAACUUUUGAAACCCCAAAAUCCACUUGCACUCCUGGUAACUUGCUUCCCUUUAAUCUUUACAACUUACCUAGGUUCCAUUUAUCUCUAUGAGCUUUGUUUUUGCUGCUGUGUUUUUUGGGUAAAUAUGAACAAUUGUCGAUCCCAUAUCUUCCCUGAUCGAUUUCCAGGAUUCAUAAGCUCCGCCCAUGGUCAGAUUCUGUUUCUCUACGAUUUCUUUAUUUAUGGCUCAGGAUUAUGAGAUGGAGUGGAACAGUUGUUUGCCUUCUUUCUUUACCUACAUCCUCUCCUUUGAAUCCACUUUCCAGUUCA
rnacentral:lncRNA from 1 species